rnacentral:rRNA from 1 species
GGAAACAGAUGCUAAUACCGGAUAACAACAGAUGAUGCCUAUCAACUGUUUAAAAGAUGGUUCUGCUAUCACUCUUGGAUGGACCUGCGGUGCAUUAGCUAGUUGGUAGGGUAACGGCCUACCAAGGCGAUGAUGCAUAGCCGAGUUGAGAGACUGAUCGGCCACAUUGGGACUGAGACACGGCCCAAACUCCUACGGGAGGCAGCAGAG